AAUCUGCCUUGGGGUCGGGGACAACCACUGGAAACGGUGGCUAAUACCGGAUAAGCCUUUGGGUAAAAAAUUUAUUGCCCCAAGAGGAGCUCGCGUCUGAUUAGCUAGUUGGUGAGGUAAGAGCUCACCAAGGCAGCGAUCAGUAGCUGGUCUGAGAGGACGAUCAGCCACACUGGGACUGAGACACGGCCCAGACUCCUACGGGAGGCAGCAGUGGGGAAUUUUCCGCAAUGGGCGAAAGCCUGACGGAGCAAGACCGCGUGAGGGAGGAAGGCUCUUGGGUUGUAAACCUCUUUUCUCGGGGAAGAAGCUCUGACGGUACCUGAGGAAUCAGCCUCGGCUAACUCCGUGCCAGCAGCCGCGGUAAUACGGAGGAGGCAAGCGUUAUCCGGAAUUAUUGGGCGUAAAGCGUCCGCAGGUGGCGAUUCAAGUCUGCUGUCAAAGCACGGGGCUUAACUCCGUUAAGGCAGUGGAAACUGAAUAGCUAGAGUGCCGUAGGGGUAGAGGGAAUUCCCGGUGUAGCGGUGAAAUGCGUAGAGAUCGAGAAGAACAUCGGUGGCGAAAGCGCUCUACUGGACGGCAACUGACACUCAGGGACGAAAGCUAGGGGAGCGAAUGGGAUUAGAUACCCCAGUAGUCCUAGCUGUAAACGAUGGAUACUAGGUGUAGCUUGUAUCGACCCGAGCUGUGCCGAAGCUAACGCGUUAAGUAUCCCGCCUGGGGAGUACGCACGCAAGUG
rnacentral:rRNA from 1 species